AUGAUUCUUCAUUCACUCAUUCUGCUCUCUGCCUUCACAUGUGUGAGUUUUGGAGAUGAAAUCAGUCCUGACAGCAGUGAAGUGUUUGCUGCAGUGGCUUCAAAUGUUACUUUAUCCUGCAGUUAUACCUCUGCAUAUAAUCUUCAAUGGUACCGUCACUAUCCUGGAGCAGCUCCUCAAAACCUUCUGCUCAUAACAGAUGGUCUAACAGAGACUAAGUUUUCUGAAGUAGAUCCCAGGUUUGCAACUAAGCUGAGAAAAGAAAAUCAAGCUGGAAAAGAAAUCAAGCGUGUGGAUCUGCUGCUCUCCUCUGCUGCAGUAUCAGACUCUGCUGUGUAUUACUGUUGUGCAGAGGACAAGACAGAGUAG